rnacentral:rRNA from 1 species
GAUGAACGCUGGCGGCGUGCCUAAUACAUGCAAGUCGAGCGAACAGACGAGGAGCUUGCUCCUCUGACGUUAGCGGCGGACGGGUGAGUAACACGUGGAUAACCUACCUAUAAGACUGGGAUAACUUCGGGAAACCGGAGCUAAUACCGGAUAAUAUAUUGAACCGCAUGGUUCAGUAGUGAAAGACGGUUUUGCUGUCACUUAUAGAUGGAUCCGCGCCGCAUUAGCUAGUUGGUAAGGUAACGGCUUACCAAGGCAACGAUGCGUAGCCGACCUGAGAGGGUGAUCGGCCACCCUGGAACUGAGACACGGUCCAGACUCCUACGGGAGGCAGCAGUAGGGAAUCUUCCGCAAUGGGCGAAAGCUUGACGGAGCAACGCCGCGUGAGUGAUGAAGGUCUUCGGAUCGUAAAACUCUGUUAUUAGGGAAGAACAAAUGUGUAAGUAACUAUGCACGUCUUGACGGUACCUAAUCAGAAAGCCACGGCUAACUACGUG